rnacentral:rRNA from 1 species
AACGAACGCUGGCGGCGUGGAUAAGACAUGCAAGUCGGACGGGAUUUCCGUUGUAGCAAUACGAUGGAUAGUCUAGUGGCGAACGGGUGCUUAACACGUGGGCAACCUGCCAGGAAGUGGGGGAUAGCUCGCCGAAAGGCGAAUUAAUACCGCAUGUGAUUAGAGAGGACAUCCUUUCGAAAUUAAAGUCGGGGCAACCUGACGCUUCUUGUGGGGCCCGCGGCCUAUCAGCUAGUUGGUGAGGUAAUGGCUCACCAAGGCUUUGACGGGUAGCUGGUCUGAGAGGACGACCAGCCACACUGGGACUGAGACACGGCCCAGACACCUACGGGUGGCAGCAGUCGAGAAUUUUUGACAAUGGGGGAAACCCUGAUCGAGCGACGCCGCGUGGAGGAUGAAGGUCUUCGGGAAUUGUAAACUCCUGUCAUUGGGGAACAAGGUGCAUACGUUAACUGCGUGUGCAUUGAUAGUACCCGAAGAGGAAGAGACGGCUAACUCUGUGCCAGCAGCAGC